rnacentral:ncRNA from 1 species
AUGUAAAUGGCAAACUUAUGGAAACAUAAGGACGCAAAGCCAAGGGCCUAAACUUUGUAUAGUAUGGUAGCCGGCUACCAA